AGGUGCCAGAGUAGGGCAGGGGAGCCAAUCUCCAAGCACCUCUCCAGCUCUGCACUCCCUGCAGAAAUGUUGCUGACCAUGUGCACUGCUGGUGAGCACCAUGGCCCCUGGGGACCAGCCAAGGAUCUGUCAGGAGGGCAGGAGCACUGGUGAAUGCUGCAGUUGGCAGGGAAGAGCUCCAAGGAGCAGUGCUGGGAGGUGAGGAGGGAGCAGGCUCAGGGCUGAGGCUCUCAUCACAGCAUUCAGCAUGGACAGACUCCUCAAGCUGGCCUGGGGCACAUGAUUCCCAACAUAAAUCCUCCCAGGAAGAUGUCCUGUGCUUUAAAGUCAUGUCUUCCUCUCUUUCCUCUGGAAAAUGAGGAUAAUAAUACCUGAUCUGUCUUCUCUGAGUGUUGCUUAAUAUUUAAAUAUUGCUUUGAUCCCAUGAAGUGCUGAGGAUUAUUACUUUAUAAUCUCUAUAAUUCUAUUAUUCCAUGAGUGAAGUGAUUCAAAUAAAAUUGAAAGGAUCUUUUAUGCUGA